UACGUAGGCAGCAAGCGUUGUUCGGAGUUACUGGGCGUAAAGGGUGUGUAGGCGGUUCUUUAAGUUUGGUGUGAAAUCUCCCGGCUCAACUGGGAGGUGCGCCGAAUACUGAGGGACUAGAGUACGGGAGAGGAAAGUGGAAUUCCUGGUGUAGCGGUGAAAUGCGCAGAUAUCAGGAGGAACACCGGUGGCGAAGGCGGAUCUCUGGGCCUUACCUGACGCUGAGGCGCGAAAGCUAGGGGAGCGAACAGG
rnacentral:rRNA from 1 species